GACGAACGCUGGCGGCGUGCUUAAUACAUGCAAGUCGAACGGAAAGGCCCUGCUUUUGUGGGGUGCUCGAGUGGCGAACGGGUGAGUAAAACGUGAGUAACCUGCCCUUGACUUUGGGAUAACUUCAGGAAACUGGGGCUAAUACCGGAUAGGAGCUCUUGCUGCAUGGUGGGGGUUGGAAAGUUUCGGCGGUUGGGGAUGGACUCGCAGCUUAUCAGCUUGUUGGUGGGGUAGUGGCUUACCAAGGCUUUGACGGGUAGCCGGCCUGAGAGGGUGACCGGCCACAUUGGGACUGAGAUACGGCCCAGACUCCUACGGGAGGCAGCAGUGGGGAAUAUUGCACAAUGGGCGGAAGCCUGAUGCAGCAACGCCGCGUGCGUGAUGACGGCCUUCGGGUUGUAAACCGCUGUCGCCUGUGACGAAGCGGGAGUGACGGUAAUGGGUAAAGAAGCACCGGCUAACUACGUG
rnacentral:rRNA from 1 species